GAUGAACGCUGGCGGCGUGCCUAAUACAUGCAAGUCGAGCGAACAGACGAGGAGCUUGCUCCUCUGACGUUAACGUCGGACGGGUGAGUAACACGUGGAUAACCUACCUAUAAGACUGGGAUAACUUCGGGAAACCGGAGCUAAUACCGGAUAAUAUAUUGAACCGCAUGGUUCAAUAGUGAAAGACGGUUUUGCUGUCACUUAUAGAUGGAUCCGCGCCGCAUUAGCUAGUUGGUAAGGUAACGGCUUACCAAGGCAACGAUGCGUAGCCGACCUGAGAGGGUCGUCGGCCACACUGGAACUGAGACACGGUCCAGACUCCGACGGGAGGCAGCAGUAGGGAAUCUUCCGCAAUGGGCGAAAGCCUGACGGAGCAACGCCGCGUGAGUGAUGAAGGUCUUCGGAUCGUAAAACUCUGUUAUUAGGGAAGAACAAAUGUGUAAGUAACUAUGCACGUCUUGACGGUACCUAAUCAGAAAGCCACGGCUAACUACGUG
rnacentral:rRNA from 1 species